AUUGAACGCUGGCGGCAGGCCUAACACAUGCAAGUCGAGCGGAUGAAGGGAGCUUGCUCCUGGAUUCAGCGGCGGACGGGUGAGUAAUGCCUAGGAAUCUGCCUGGUAGUGGGGGAUAACGUCCGGAAACGGGCGCUAAUACCGCAUACGUCCUGAGGGAGAAAGUGGGGGAUCUUCGGACCUCACGCUAUAAGAUGAGCCUAGGUCGGAUUAGCUAGUUGGUGGGGUAAAGGCCUACCAAGGCGACGAUCCGUAACUGGUCUGAGAGGAUGAUCAGUCACACUGGAACUGAGACAAGGUCCAGACUCCUACGGGAGGCAGCAGUGGGGAAUAUUGGACAAUGGGCGAAAGCCUGAUCCAGCCAUGCCGCGUGUGUGAAGAAGGUCUUCGGAUUGUAAAGCACUUUAAGUUGGGAGGAAGGGCAGUAAGUUAAUACCUUGCUGUUUUGACGUUACCAACAGAAUAAGCACCGGCUAACUUCGUG
rnacentral:rRNA from 1 species